rnacentral:rRNA from 1 species
AUUGAACGCUGGCGGCAUGCCUUACACAUGCAAGUCGAACGGCAGCGGACCUUCGGGUGCCGGCGAGUGGCGAACGGGUGAGUAAUAUAUCGGAACGUACCUUUCAGUGGGGGAUAACGUAGCGAAAGUUACGCUAAUACCGCAUAUUCUGUGAGCAGGAAAGCAGGGGAUCGCAAGACCUUGCGCUGAUUGAGCGGCCGAUAUCAGAUUAGCUAGUUGGUGAGGUAGAGGCUCACCAAGGCGACGAUCUGUAGCGGGUCUGAGAGGAUGAUCCGCCACACUGGAACUGAGACACGGUCCAGACUCCUACGGGAGGCAGCAGUGGGGAAUUUUGGACAAUGGGCGCAAGCCUGAUCCAGCCAUGCCGCGUGAGUGAAGAAGGCCUCGGUUGUAAG